rnacentral:rRNA from 1 species
GUAACACUAACUGGAGGACCGAACCGACUAAUGUUGAAAAAUUAGCGGAUGACUUGUGGCUGGGGGUGAAAGGCCAAUCAAACCGGGAGAUAGCUGGUUCUCCCCGAAAGCUAUUUAGGUAGCGCCUCGUGAAUUCAUCUCCGGGGGUAGAGCACUGUUUCGGCAAGGGGGUCAUCCCGACUUACCAACCCGAUGCAAACUGCGAAUACCGGAGAAUGUUAUCACGGGAGACACACGGCGGGUGCUAACGUCCGUCGUGAAGAGGGAAACAACCCAGACCGCCAGCUAAGGUCCCAAAGUCAUGGUUAAGUGGGAAACGAUGUGGGAAGGCCCAGACAGCCAGGAUGUUGGCUUAGAAGCAGCCAUCAUUUAAAGAAAGCGUAAUAGCUCACUGGUCGAGUCGGCCUGCGCGGAAGAUGUAACGGGGCUAAACCAUGCACCGAAGCUGCGGCAGCGACACUAUGUGUUGUUGGGUAGGGGAGCGUUCUGUAAGCCUGUGAAGGUGUGCUGUGAGGUAUGCUGGAGGUAUCAGAAGUGCGAAUGCUGACAUAAGUAACGAUAAAGCGGGUGAAAAGCCCGCUCGCCGGAAGACCAAGGGUUCCUGUCCAACGUUAAUCGGGGCAGGGUGAGUCGACCCCUAAGGCGAGGCCGAAAGGCGUAGUCGAUGGGAAACAGGUUAAUAUUCCUGUACUUGGUGUUACUGCGAAGGGGGGACGGAGAAGGCUAUGUUGGCCGGGCGACGGUUGUCCCGGUUUAAGCGUGUAGGCUGGUUUUCCAGGCAAAUCCGGAAAAUCAAGGCUGAGGCGUGAUGACGAGGCACUACGGUGCUGAAGCAACAAAUGCCCUGCUUCCAGGAAAAGCCUCUAAGCAUCAGGUAACAUCAAAUCGUACCCCAAACCGACACAGGUGGUCAGGUAGAGAAUACCAAGGCGCUUGAGAGAACUCGGGUGAAGGAACUAGGCAAAAUGGUGCCGUAACUUCGGGAGAAGGCACGC